rnacentral:rRNA from 1 species
AUUGAACGCUGGCGGCAGGCUUAACACAUGCAAGUCGAGCGGGGUGAUGGUGCUUGCACUAUCACUUAGCGGCGGACGGGUGAGUAAUGCUUAGGAAUCUGCCUAUUAGUGGGGGACAACAUCUCGAAAGGGAUGCUAAUACCGCAUACGUCCUACGGGAGAAAGCAGGGGAUCACUUGUGACCUUGCGCUAAUAGAUGAGCCUAAGUCGGAUUAGCUAGUUGGUGGGGGAAAGGCCUACCAAGGCGACGAUCUGUAGCGGGUCUGAGAGGAUGAUCCGCCACACUGGGACUGAGACACGGCCCAGAGUCCUACGGGAGGCAGCAGUGGGGAAUAUUGGACAAUGGGGGGAACCCUGAUCCAGCCAUGCCGCGUGCGUGAAGAAGGCCUUAUGGUUGUAAAGCACUUUAAGCGAGGAGGAGGCUCUUUUGGUUAAUACCCAAGAUGAGUGGACGUUACUCGCAGAAUAAGCACCGGCUAACUCUGUGCCAGCAGCCGCCGUAA